rnacentral:tRNA from 3 species
GGCCCGGUGGCUCAGCUGGUUAGAGCGCCGCCCUGUCACGGCGGAGGUCAGGGGUUCGAACCCCCUCCGGGUCG